GACGAACGCUGGCGGCGUGCUUAACACAUGCAAGUCGAACGGAAAGGCCCUGCUUUUGUGGGGUGCUCGAGUGGCGAACGGGUGAGUAACACGUGAGUAACCUGCCCUUGACUUUGGGAUAACUUCAGGAAACUGGGGCUAAUACCGGAUAGGAGCUCCUGCUGCAUGUUGGUGGUUGGAAAGUUUCGGCGGUUGGGGAUGGACUCGCGGCUUAUCAGCUUGUUGGUGGGGUAGUGGCUUACCAAGGCUUUGACGGGUAGCCGGCCUGAGAGGGGUGCCGGCCACAUUGGGACUGAGAUACGGACCAGACGCGUACGGGAGGCAGCAGUGGGGAAUAUUACGGAAUGGGCGGAAGCGUGAUGCAGAAACGUCGCGUGCGGGAUGACGGCUUACGGGUUGUAAACAGCUUUCGACUGUGACGAAGCGUGAGUGACGGUAAUGGGUCAAAAAGCACCGGCUAACUACGUG
rnacentral:rRNA from 1 species